rnacentral:lncRNA from 1 species
AUUCAAGGCGGUUGAGAACUUGGCGUUCAGCAGGUCCUGUGAAAAUCAGGAAUUGGAACAAUAUGGGAAGGGCAGGCACACAUUUAAAACGUGAGGGAAUGAGCUUCCUCAGAUGGCAAAAGCACCACUUCUCGGGUGAAGGCAAGCCUGUUCCCCCGCGGCUGGCCUUGGUUGUGUUUCUCAGAAGUUCCCACUGGGGCGUCUAGAGCGGUCCAUCUCUCUUGUCUUCUGGAUGUGAAGAAGGUGGCGAUAACACCCUUGUCCACUAGGGGGCUCUCGGACCUCUCUGGCAUACAGACUGGGAUGAGAUCUGGUGGUGCCUGACACGGUGCUGCCUGUUGGGUUCUAGGUAUCUCAUACAUGGGAGCAGGUCCCGGGGAGGAGAGGCUGCUCUGGUUCUAGAGGGAGA